CCUACGGGUGGCAGCAGUGGGGAAUAUUGGACAAUGGGCGAAAGCCUGAUCCAGCCAUGCCGCGUGUGUGAAGAAGGCCUUCGGGUUGUAAAGCACUUUCAGUGGGGAAGAAAGCCUUGGGGCUAAUACCCUCGAGGAAGGACAUCACCCACAGAAGAAGCACCGGCUAACUCCGUGCCAGCAGCCGCGGUAAUACGGAGGGUGCGAGCGUUAAUCGGAAUUACUGGGCGUAAAGCGCGCGUAGGCGGUCUGAUAAGCCGGUUGUGAAAGCCCCGGGCUCAACCUGGGAACGACAUCCGGAACUGUCAGGCUAGAGUGCAGGAGAGGAAGGUAGAAUUCCCGGUGUAGCGGUGAAAUGCGUAGAGAUCGGGAGGAAUACCAGUGGCGAAGGCGGUCUUCUGGACUGACACUGACGCUGAGGUGCGAAAGCGUGGGUAGCAAACAGGAUUAGAUACCCGGGUAGUC
rnacentral:rRNA from 1 species